rnacentral:miRNA from 1 species
AUGUACCUCGCCGGGUGGAGGGUUUCCCUUCCACUCGGCAAGGUACAUGUACCUCGCCGGCUGGAAGGAAGCCCUUCCAGUCGACGAGGUACAUGUACCUCGCCGACUGGAAGGAAACCUCCACUCGGCGAGGUACAUGUACCUCGCCGACUGGAAGGGAAACCCUCCACUCGGCGAGGUACAU